UACGGAGGGUGCAAGCGUUAUCCGGAUUCACUGGGUUUAAAGGGUGCGUAGGUGGGCAAGUAAGUCAGUGGUGAAAUCUCCGGGCUUAACCCGGAAACUGCCAUUGAUACUAUUUGUCUUGAAUACUGUGGAGGUCAGCGGAAUAUGUCAUGUAGCGGUGAAAUGCUUAGAUAUGACAUAGAACACCAAUUGCGAAGGCAGCUGGCUACACAAAUAUUGACACUGAGGCACGAAAGCGUGGGGGAUCGAACAGG
rnacentral:rRNA from 1 species